rnacentral:tRNA from 1 species
GGGCACUUGGCACAGUGGUAGCGCGCACGCUUCGCAUUCGCGUAAUUGCGUGAGGUCCAGGGUUCAAUCCCCUGAGUGUCCA